UACGGAGGGUGCAAGCGUUAUCCGGAUUCACUGGGUUUAAAGGGUGCGUAGGUGGGUUGGUAAGUCAGUGGUGAAAUCUCCGUGCUUAACAUGGAAACUGCCAUUGAUACUACUGAUCUUGAAUUUUCAGGAGGUAAGCGGAAUAUGUCAUGUAGCGGUGAAAUGCUUAGAUAUGACAUAGAACACCAAUUGCGAAGGCAGCUUACUACAGGAAUAUUGACUCUGAGGCACGAAAGCGUGGGGAUCAAACAGG
rnacentral:rRNA from 1 species